UGGGAUGUAGCCAAGGGGUAAGGCAGCGGGUUCUGGCCCCGUCAUUCCGAGGGUUCAAAUCCUUCCAUCCCAACCA
rnacentral:tRNA from 2 species